UACGUAGGGGGCAAGCGUUAUCCGGAUUUACUGGGUGUAAAGGGAGCGCAGACGGCAGUGCAAGUCUGGAGUGAAAGCCCGGGGCCCAACCCCGGAGCUGCUUUGGAAACUGUGCGGCUCGAGUGCGGGAGAGGUAGGCGGAAUUCCUAGUGUAGCGGUGAGAUGCGUAGAUAUUAGGAGGAACACCAGUGGCGAAGGCGGCUUACUGGACCGUAACUGACGUUGAGGCUCGAAAGCGUGGGGAGCAAACAGG
rnacentral:rRNA from 1 species